GACAGAGGGUGCAAACGUUGUUCGGAAUUACUGGGCGUAAAGCGCGUGUAGGCGGUGUGGUAAGUCGGAUGUGAAAGCCCCGGGCUCAACCCGGGAAGUGCACUCGAUACUGCCACGCUAGAGUAUCGGAGAGGUUGGUGGAAUUCUCGGUGUAGAGGUGAAAUUCGUAGAUAUCGAGAGGAACACCGGUGGCGAAGGCGGCCAACUGGACGAAUACUGACGCUGAGACUCGAAAGCGUGGGGAGCAAACAGG
rnacentral:rRNA from 1 species